AAAAUACGGGAGGCAGCAGUGGGGAAUAUUGCACAAUGGGCGCAAGCCUGAUGCAGCGACGCCGCGUGGGGGAUGACGGCCUUCGGGUUGUAAACUCCUUUCGUUAGGGACGAAGCCACACUUUUUUUGGGUGUGGUGACGGUACCUUUGUUAAGAAGCACCGGCUAACUACGUGCCAGCAGCCGCGGUAAUUUUU
rnacentral:rRNA from 1 species